CACUUGUAUGUCGAGCAGUAGUUUGUGGGUUCGGAUUAGACAAGAGGAGGAUCCAGAAGCGGUUAAGGGUCCCAAGGUUUCGGAUCCAGUUACCCGUUUAUCAGAUGAUGAUUGUGCAGUGGGAAGAGUAGAGGAUCGGAAUUUGAUCGGAGUGCAUAUGCUGCUUCUCUUCUUUCUACCUCUUCCACUCACUCUACCAUCGAACCAUGUUUUGUAUUUGAUCUUGGAAACUUGAUUCCCAUGAUUAUUAUCAGAGAAACGACUUGAAUUCUCUGUUAUUUGUUUCUCUUACCUAAAUUGCGAUAUCAUUCUUAAGUUUGUUUUUUUAUUUUUAUUUUUUGGACUCUUGGUCUUUCUCAACCCAGACUCAGACCCAAACCCAGAUCGAUUGAGACGAAAUAUUUGGGUCUGGGCAAGUAUAGACCCCAUGCCCACUACUCAUAAGAAGGCCCAGAGAGUUGAGGGUCCACUUACACCCCCUACCUUCAACCGUCCGAUUGAGAACACCCACCACCGGCGAGCACUUGAGCCAUCCCUUCCCCCGAGACCCGGCGUUACUGUCUGAGAGAUUGUGAGCAUGGCUGAUCAAACUUUUAUUUUUGUGUCUUUCUGUUAGUAGUUUUUGGGUUCUGCUAGAGAACUGAAGCUUGCUGAUUAAAAAUUCAGCACUUGAACAAAUUAUUCGCACUUCACUCGUGGCCGUCUCCGCCGUCUAGUGUCGAUUUCUACUUUAUCCGUUACAUCAGACAUUGAUCGUCGUUUCGCCUUUCUUCGUCAGAACCCCCAAAUUCACGGCAACAACGACGGCAAGUCGGCAACGAGGACAGCGACGCUGCUGGUCCACACUAAUCGAUGGCGACAAAAAAUCAUUCUCUGUUAUUUUUUGGUGCAGAAUUAACAUUGCGAAGGAACAUUCUCUGUAAAGAAGGAACAUUGGGAUUCUAUGCCCCCUGUUGAUACACGCAAAAAUAGUGCCUUUUCUUUGCUUCUUUGGGUUCUCAAGGAAGAAGAUCAAAGGUUGAGUUCAGAUCACUUGCCAAGGUGACUGGUUCUUCUUCUUCUUCGGUUUGAUUUUGAGUCAAGCUCGAGCUCGCUCGUUGCCACCCCUAAGAGAUGGUGUAAAGCAGUGAAAAAAUCUUUUAUAAGGAUAAAGUGAAAUGCUGGAGAAAGUACGCAUUCUUCCGGAGUUUGUAGCAUCUAAUGCGAGAGUGUUUUGGGUUUGGUUCUUUCUUCUAGGUGGCUCACUUUCGUUUGUGAGUUUCCUCUAUGCUGCUGUAAUAUCGAAACUUCUUCCUCCAUCUGAUAAUGUUGUGAUCCGUGCCAUACAAAAUGACUGGUAUUAUUGCUUCUUGGUGCCCUUGACACUUCCAAUCCUCAUCGUUGCAGUAUAUUUUCAUUGGCUGAGCAUGAAACUGUUCAAGCAUGCAUGAUCUUACUUCAAUAGGGUCCUACCAUGGCGAUAAAGAAAGCUCAAGAUCUGAGUGUUGCUCCUUGUCUCUAGCACCCAGAUGGCGACAAUGAUGGCUACGGCGGUUACAAGUUGUGCCCAGGCUGCGUAUGCAAAAGGGCUCAUGAUGAUACGAUGACAAUGAUGAUGGAGAUUUGGAAGGAGUUGGAAACCUGAGAAGCAAUUUUCUUUAUAUAGUCUUGCUGCAUUUUAUAUUGUAGGAUUUUGUAUCUGUCAUCGCUAGCAUAUAUAUGUUAAAUGAGAUCAACAAGAUGCAAGGUUUUUCUUCAUCUCAUGCAAUUGUCGUAGUCGUGUUGUUUGAGUUUGACAUGAUUUUAAUGGUAUAUCUAAACUGGUGCACUCAUGGGAGAAUGUUUCCUUUAAUUUAUUUGAAUUUGAGAAUGGAGCAUUAUAUACGCUAA